UUAACAUGUAUUUUGUGUGGUGUAUGAUUUUGAAAUGUUUACUGUACAGAUUUUUAAAUAUUUUGUACAAUUCCUCAAUAUUUAAUUGAAAGUUGUAUGACUUGUUUUUUGAUUGACUAACAAAACUUUUACUUACAAACUUGUUACAUUUAUAUUGAUGUGAUCACGAACUGGCUACAUUGGUAUUGGUAACUGUGAUCAC